rnacentral:rRNA from 1 species
AGAGUUUGAUUCUGGCUCAGAUUGAACGCUGGCGGCAGGCCUAACACAUGCAAGUCGAGCGGUAGAGAGAAGCUUGCUCCUCUAGAGAGCGGCGGACGGGUGAGUAAUGCCUAGGAAUCUGCCUGGUAGUGGGGGAUAACGUUCGGAAACGGACGCUAAUACCGCAUACGUCCUACGGGAGAAAGCAGGGGACCUUCGGGCCUUGCGCUAUCAGAUGAGCCUAGGUCGGAUUAGCUAGUUGGUGAGGUAAUGGCUCACCAAGGCGACGAUCCGUAACUGGUCUGAGAGGAUGAUCAGUCACACUGGAACUGAGACACGGUCCAGACUCCUACGGGAGGCAGCAGUGGGGAAUAUUGGACAAUGGGCGAAAGCCUGAUCCAGCCAUGCCGCGUGUGUGAAGAAGGUCUUCGGAUUGUAAAGCACUUUAAGUUGGGAGGAAGGGCAGUUACCUAAUACGUGAUUGUUUUGACGUUACCGACAGAAUAAGCACCGGCUAACUGGUGUGCCAGCAGCCGCGGUAAU